rnacentral:tRNA from 1 species
GAGGUUGUGGCUCAGUGGUAGAGCACUCACCUAGCAUGUGUGAGGCAUUGGGUUCAAUCCUCAGUAUCA